UAGCAUUACAGUUUCGAAACUUCUACCAAUGGCUGUGAUUGGUCGCGCCAUGUUAGCGUCCUCUCAUUUCGACCAAUCAGACACGUCGCUGUGUGAGCGAGUGCGUCGAUUUGUGACGCAGUACAGCAUUCCUCUUCGAAGCUUCGUUCGUCUUGCACGUGUCUGCAACAGCAUUAAAGUUUCGAAGCACUUUGAAACUUCUAUCGAUGGCUGUGAUUGGUCGCGCCAUGUUGGCGUCCUCUCAUUUCGACCAAUCAGACACGUCGUUGUGUGAGCGAGUGCGUCGAUUUGUGGCGCAGUGCAUCAGUCCUCUCUGAAGCUUCGUCCGUCUUUCACGUGUCUGCAACAGACCUGUUCGUGUACUUGGUUAGGUAUCGGCCGAUAGCAGAAUAUACCGAACAUUGCCGAGCGUUGCCGAAGUGCCGACCGGUAGACGAUGGGAAGGAAGGUCUCGCCAUUGCUCUCUCGAGAGUCGAACUGACAGGACGUGUUGAGAGCAUCCUUCCGCAUAAAUAAUAGAUAUUUGAUAGAUUUUGAAAGGACGCCACGACUCCUGAUAUGGGUUUGAAAUAGAAUUUCGUAAGAAUUUAUUGUUUUUAUUUAUUCUAAUCAAUUAUUAACGUUUAUUAUUACUUUUUUUUCAUUGAGUCGUUGUUGUUAAUUGUAAGCAUUGUUGAUAAUUAAUUGAU